AACUUAUUAACUCAAAUGGUAGAGCAUUAUGCGGAUACAUAGGGGAUGUAGGUUCAAUUCCUAUAUAGGUUG
rnacentral:tRNA from 1 species